GACGAACGCUGGCGGCGUGCUUAACACAUGCAAGUCGAACGGAAAGGCCCUGCUUUUGUGGGGUGCUCGAGUGGCGAACGGGUGAGUAACACGUGAGUAACCUGCCCUUGACUUUGGGAUAACUUCAGGAAACUGGGGCUAAUACCGGAUAGGAGCUCCUGCUGCAUGGUGGGGGUUGGAAAGUUUCGGCGGUUGGGGAUGGACUCGCGGCUUAUCAGCUUGUUGGUGGGGUAGUGGCUUACCCAGGCUUUGACGGGUAGCCGGCCUGAGAGGGUGACCGGCCACAUUGGGACUGAGAUACGGCCCAGACUCCUACGGGAGGCAGCAGUGGGGAAUAUUGCACAAAGGGCGGAAGCCUGAUGCAGCAAAGCCGCGUGCGGGAUAACGGCCUUCGGGCUGUAAACCGCUUUCGCCUGUGACGAAGCGUGAGUGACGGUAAUGGGUAAAGAAGCACCGGCUAACUACGUG
rnacentral:rRNA from 1 species